AGUGAACGCUGGCGGCAGGCCUAACACAUGCAAGUCGAACGGCAGCACAGUAAGAGCUUGCUCUUACGGGUGGCGAGUGGCGGACGGGUGAGGAAUACAUCGGAAUCUACUUUUUCGUGGGGGAUAACGUAGGUAAACUUACGCUAAUACCGCAUACGACCUACGGGUGAAAGCAGGGGAUCUUCGGACCUUGCGCGAUUGAAUUAGCCGAUGUCGGAUUAGCUAGUUGGCGGGGUAAAGGCCCACCAAGGCGACGAUCCGUAGCUGGUCUGAGAGGAUGAUCGGCCACACUGGAACUGAGACACGGUCCAGACUCCUACGGGAGGCAGCAGUGGGGAAUAUUGGACAAUGGGCGCAAGCCUGAUCCAGCCAUCCCGCGUGGGUGAAGAAGGCCUUCGGGUUGUAAAGCCCUUUUGUUGGGAAAGAAAAGCAGCAGGUUAAUACCCCGCUGUUCUGACGGUACCCAAAGAAUAAGCACCGGCUAACUUCGUG
rnacentral:rRNA from 1 species